rnacentral:rRNA from 1 species
GAUGAACGCUGGCGGCGUGCCUAAUACAUGCAAGUCGAGCGAACAGAUGAGAAGCUUGCUUCUCUGAUGUUAGCGGCGGACGGGUGAGUAACACGUGGGUAACCUACCUAUAAGACUGGGAUAACUCCGGGAAACCGGGGCUAAUACCGGAUAAUAUUUUGAACCGCAUGGUUCAAUAGUGAAAGACGGUUUCGGCUGUCACUUAUAGAUGGACCCGCGCCGUAUUAGCUAGUUGGUAAGGUAAUGGCUUACCAAGGCGACGAUACGUAGCCGACCUGAGAGGGUGAUCGGCCACACUGGAACUGAGACACGGUCCAGACUCCUACGGGAGGCAGCAGUAGGGAAUCUUCCGCAAUGGGCGAAAGCCUGACGGAGCAACGCCGCGUGAGUGAUGAAGGUCUUCGGAUCGUAAAACUCUGUUGUUAGGGAAGAACAAAUUUGUUAGUAACUGAACAAGUCUUGACGGUACCUAACCAGAAAGCCACGGCUAACUACGUGCCAGCAGCCGCGGUAA